UGUCCAGUAGCAUCUUAUAGACCAACUAAGUUUGUUCUGGUAUAAACUUAGUUGGUCUAUAAGGUGCUACCAGACA